rnacentral:lncRNA from 1 species
UUUCUGCUUGUACAGAGCCUCAGGUCCAGCCAGAGCAAACAUUGCUAAAAGCUGUAAUCUCCAGUUAGAAAACAACCUUGAAGGGAGUUUCUCAGUGGCCUCAUUAGACAAACAAGAGGUGGUAGGACCAAGCCUCCUUUGGAAUGGACCUGCCCAGAAGGAAAGGGGACAAAAGGUACACAGAAAGCCCCCUGGUGUCUGACGGCCCCUGGAAAUAAUAAUUGGAAAAAGAAUGAAAACAAUUGCAAUACUUCUGUGAACUCAAUUGUUCUAUAUAUAAAAUGAACAUGUUGGACUAGCUCAGUGACUCUAAAUGAAGGCUACAGAGUUCUUCUCUUCUGUGACCUCUAGGGAGAAAAGUAGAGUUACAAUGUUAGGGUAGUGAUGCUUUUAAAUUACAUGUCCAAAUUAGCUCCUGGCAUUGAUGAGAAUAUGUUGUAUCUUUCUAGUAGGUAGGGACAGGAAAAGGUAGAGAGUGUGCUAUUUGAUUGUCCUGCCAACUCUUUCAUUCCUUAAUUUGGGAAUUAGUUGACCCCAUUUGACAGGUGAAUCAAUGAAUAGCUAAAUUACUGACAUAUAUAAAUAAAAUAUUCAUUUAUUUUCUUUUUUUUGCAUUUGUAGUUUUGGAACAAUUUUACAUUUACAGAAAAGUUGCAAAGAGAAUUCCUAUAUAACCUUCACCUACUUACCCUUAAUAUUCAUAUCUUUCAUAGAUGUACAUUUGUCAAAACAUUUGUACACUACUAUUAAAUAAUUCCAAACUUUUUUUGGGUUUCACAUUUUCCCAUUUAUAUCCCUUUUCUUUCCCAGGAUACAAUCUAGGAUACUAUGUUGCAUUUAGGAAAUAUUUAUUUUAGUGUGUAAAUAUUUAUGCUAUGCAUUGGUUUGAUGGAAUUAUGAGUCAAAGAAUGAUUUAUGAUCCCCACUUUACACAACCUCUUGUCUGGAAGGCAUAACCACAUGUGCAGAAACAUCGAUGCAUCCUUGUCCUUAGAUCUUCAAAUCAACAUGCUAAGUUUGAGGAUGCACAGUCAGUGGGAAGGCCUUCCCUGGAAAACCAUGCAGGCAGUCCAUAUUGGUGAUGCCAGUUAUAUACCAGCUAAGCCCCACAUCCUGACUGCAUGGAAAUGUGGCAGGAAUU